GCAUAUCAAUAAGCGGAGGAAAAGAAACCAACAGGGAUUGCCUCAGUAACGGCGAGUGAAGCGGCAACAGCUCAAAUUUGAAAUCUGGCCCUCCGGGUCCGAAUUGUAAUUUGCAGAGGAUGCUUUUGGUUAGGUACCUUCCGAGUUCCCUGGAAUGGGACGCCAUAGAGGGUGAGAGCCCCGUACGGUCGGAUUCCGAGCCUCUGUAUAGCUCCCUCGACGAGUCGAGUAGUUUGGGAAUGCUGCUCAAAAUGGGAGGUAAACCCCUUCUAAAGCUAAAUAUUGGCCAGAGACCGAUAGCGCACAAGUAGAGUGAUCGAAAGAUGAAAAGCACUUUGGAAAGAGAGUUAAAAAGCACGUGAAAUUGUUGAAAGGGAAGCGCUUGUGACCAGACUUGCGCCUGUCAGUUCAGCCGUCCUUCUGGGCGGUGUAUUCUGUCGGCUCAGGCCAGCAUCAGUUUGUCAUUGGGGAGAAAGGUAGUGGGAAUGUGGCUCUUCGGAGUGUUAUAGCCCACUGCUAUGCCCUUUGUCAGACUGAGGACCGCGCUUUUGCAAGGAUGCUGGCGUAAUGGUUAUCAGCGACCCGUCUUGAAACACGGACCAAGGAGUCGUCCUAAUAUGCGAGUGUUAGGGUGUAAAACCCCUGCGCGUAAUGAAAGUGAACGGAGGUGGGAGCUUCGGCGCACCAUCGACCGAUCCUGAUGUUUUCGGAUGGAUUUGAGUAAGAGCAUAUUGGGCCGGACCCGAAAGGAGGUGAACUAUGCUUGGAUAGGGUAAAGCCAGAGGAAACUCUGGUGGAGGCUCGCAGCGGUUCUGACGUGCAAAUCGAUCGUCAAAUCUGAGCAUGGGGGGCGAAAGACUAMUCGAACCCUCUUUAGUAGCUGGUUUCCGCCGA
rnacentral:rRNA from 1 species